CCCGCCGGCGACCGGCGCACGGGUGAGUAACGCGUAUGCAACCUACCUAUCAGAGGGGAAUAACCCGGCGAAAGUCGGACUAAUACCGCAUAAAACAGGGGUUCCACAUGGAAAUAUUUGUUAAAGAAUUAUCGCUGAUAGAUGGGCAUGCGUUCCAUUAGAUAGUUGGUGAGGUAACGGCUCACCAAGUCCACGAUGGAUAGGGGUUCUGAGAGGAAGGUCCCCCACACUGGUACUGAGACACGGACCAGACUCCUACGGAAGGCAGCAG
rnacentral:rRNA from 1 species